CUUCGGAACAUCUUGGAUUUUAUGGACGAAGGGCCCUUACUUAAAGGUUUCAUGAAGGACUAUGAAGCUGGUCUCCAUACAGACUUGACUGGUUAUGGUUCCUUGAAGAUUUUAUGACAAGACUGGAGGAAGCCUAUUUAUUAGCAGACAGUGCCGAAUUGGUUAUUGUUGAAGAAUAGUAAAGUGUAUGCAAUUUGGAGAUCUCAACAGUUACAUGUAGUCUGGGAUAUUGUCAGUUGUAUGCAGUCAGGGGAUCUCGACAGUUGUAUGCAGUCAGGAGAUCACGACAGUUGUAUGCAGUCAGGGGAUCUCAACUGUACUUUGCAGUCCGGGGAUCUUGACAGUUGUAUGCAGUCAGGAGAUCACGACAGUUGUAUGCAGUCCGGGGAUCUCGACUGUACUUUGCAGUCGGGGGAUCUUGACAGUUGUAUGCAAUCAGGAGAUCAUGACAGUUGUAUGCAGUCCAGGGAUCUUGACAGUUGUAUGCAGUCAGGAGAUCUUUUAUCUUUUUGUACUGUUGACAGUCUCAAGAUUCUGUCUUAAAUAACACUUACUUGGACAGUUUAAAAGCAUCUCUGUAACUUGUCUGUGACAUUCUAAAGUAGAAGACAUGUAUAAGAAUAUUUAGUUCUGGCAUGCCAUACUUGAGCAGUUGAGUUUUGGAAAGGUGGCAGUUUGAAUGUUUACAGUGGUCUCUGUAAACUAUUAUUUGGCAAAUUAACGUGGAUUGUGGUAGUAAACAUGUUAUCAGUGGUGCAAGACUGGAAUUUUUACCAAAUUCAAAAGAUUUUGACUCUAAGGUGAAAAAGUGGACUAACUGCAUGAUGAGACAUCUAUACCUUUGCACAUGCUAUAAAGAAGUGUCAUCUGUUUUCAUGGGUAGUUCCGAGGACUUUAUAAGUAAUUUUUUGCAGUUUGUGUAUUUUUGAAUGUGUUGAAGCACAAUGAGGAACUUUUGGACUUAACAGCAGUUUCAGGACAACUGGUUCAGCUGGCCGAUCUGGGACGUCCAGUGCCCAGACUGCUGGUGCCGGAAACCCCACUGACGGGACAACUAGUUAGACUGGUUGGUCCGGGUACUCACAGACCCUGACAGCUGGUGCCACAAACCGCAUGGACGUCGGCAGGAAUGGAGUUCACCAUAUGGAGUCAGAAGAAACUGAAAACACAAAACUGUUUUGAUUAGUGAUGACAACCGCACUGAUAGGAAAACUGGUUCGGCUGGCCGGUCUCAGGUGUCCAGUGCCCAGACUGCUGGUGCCAUGAACCCAAAUGAUAGGACAACUGGUUCGGCUGGACGGUUUGGGUCCUCACAGACCCAGACUGCUGGUGCAGUGAACCCUACAGAUGUUGACAGGAAUGGAAUUCACCAUAUGGAGUCGGAAGAAACUGAAAACACAAAACUUUUUUGAUUAGUGAUGACAACCGCACUGACAGGACAACUGGUUUGGCUGGCCGGUCUGGGGUCUCCAAUGCCCAGACUGCUGGUGCCGCGAACCCCACCAACAGGACAACUGGUUUGGCUGGCCGGUUUGGGUCCUCACAGACCCAGACUGCUGGUGCCGCAAACCAUGGAUGUCCAUGGCUCUCAUCUGGUGGAAGAAACAGCUACAAGUUGUGAGCAGCAUAGAAACGAGCAUUCUGGAAAUCGAGGAUAUGAUUCCAGUCGUGACCAGGCUGGUGACCUUGAUUGUGGUCAUUGGGAUACGGAGGAUUUGAUAGAAAGGUGGGGAACUGCAGACUAUGGCAUGAAUAAAGGACAGGGCGGGUAUCAUGGAAGAGGUGCAUUCGAUAAACAGGGCUGGAGUAAUAGAACUAUGAGAUAUUGUUCAGGAGAAUGCAGUGGGCAUGAUUCUUACCACCCACACCCUGGGAGUUCAGUAGUAGAGGUUGACAGAGCAAAUUUCAAAGAUGAUAGGAAGACAGAGAGAGCACAGACACACAGACGAUAGCCGUCGAGGCUGCCAGCAUCUUGACCGAGACUUUUAUAAUUAUUGUAAUAAACUUGGUUGAAUGUGAAUGGAUGGAACACAAAUGGCUUCUCAGAUAAUUUUAAUUUUAGAGCAAAUUUUAUUGAUAAACUUCAUUUUGAUGUGAUUGUUAUUUCAGAAACACACCUAACAGGUAAUAAGAUAAUUGAACUGUCUAUGUAUUUUAUGGACACAGUAGAAAAAAUAUUCAGGUAAAUGCACAAACUGGUUCAGGUGGAGUUUGUAUUUUUGUAAAAAGGUCAUUUGCAGAACAUUUUAGUAUUGAAAUUUUAGACACAAGCUAUGAGGGAAUUUAAUGGUUAAGUUUUAAAUCUAAAGAAGUUUUGAGAAACCUUUUACUGUUUUUGCUUGCUUUUUGCCACAAAUGGGAUCUUCUGCAUAUGUGGAGAUCAUGAUUAUUUUGACCAACAGUUAAGUAAUAUGUACUAGUAUCAGAAAUUUGGUAAAUUAUUUAUUCAUCCGUGGAUUAGAUGUAAGAGAUAACCGGCAAAGUUCUGUACCAUUUGAAUUUGUAGAUGAUUCUGGGAUUUGUACUUCUAGCCCUGUUUUAGUUUUAGUUUUAAAUAUGUGGAAAACAGACUUUUAUAACUUACACUGAAAACUGACAUGUCUUUUGAAGGGAUUGCAGAUAUUGAAAGCAAAGUAUAUAUAGAUAAUUGUACUGAUCAAGACAUUCACAUUGUUUGAUGUUAAAACUGCUAUUUUUAAUGUUAAAAAUAAUAGAGUAAUGAGAUAUGAUGAAAUACCAAGUAUAUGUUUUAAAUAUGAGGCACAGUAUUUGCAUUUGAUGUUUAAUUUCUGUUAUAACACUGGCAAAGUUAUAAAAGCUUUGGGUAAAAAUAUUAUUAACCCUGUACUGAAAGGAUCUACAAUCACUACUAAGGAUCCGUUGUCUUACGUGGGUAUUUCUAUCACACCAGUCGUACACAAAAUUAUUGGUCAUUUUUAAAUAAGAAACUUACCUUAUUUGUUCAAACAAAUUGUAUUUUAUUUGAAGGCCAAAAUUGCUUAAUAAAAGUUGAAGUACCAUUGAUCAUCUAUCGACUUUUAACAAGUAUUGUUGGUACACGAUGGAAAAUGAAGUUGUUGACAUAUUGUUCAUUUAUAGACUUAAGGAAGGCUUAUGACUGUAUAAAUAGGCAAAUUUUAUGGUGUAAAUUAGAUAGCAUUUUAGGGAAUAAGUUAUUAAAUGCCACAAAACAUAAAUGUAUAGAGUGUAGUUUUAAGUGGUAACUUCAGAUUUUAAGUGUUGUGUGUUGUACAUAUCUCCUAUAUAUAACUCUGUUUAUAGUGGCAGUACCCAAACCAAAAUGUAUGCUUGCCGCAAGCUUGCGGCAAGCUUGUGACAAGCUUGUACAGGCUGAUAUACUCAUUUGUAUUGUAAAAAUGUUCCUCUGUGCUGAUGAUAAUAAAUAAUAAAUUAACAAAUAAAUAAAAUACAAUGUCAUUGUAAAUUUGAAAUGUUUCAAGAAAUGUUUUUACAAGAGAGUGUGAAAUAAGAAAUCAUCAUUCAGUUUUUAGCUGACCUGAGCACAAAGUGCCCAAGGUGAGCUUUUGUGAUCGCCCUGUGUCCAUCGUCCAUCGGCAGUGGCGGCAGCGUCAACAAUUUGAUUAUUAACACUCCAGAGGUCACAAUUUUGGCCCAAUCUUAAUGAAACUUGGUGAGAAUGUUACCCUCAAUAAAGUCUUGGACGAGUUUGAUAUUGGGUCAUCUAGGGUCAAAAACUAGGUCAC
rnacentral:lncRNA from 1 species